UUAUCUCUGUAGAGUCUGCAUAUCAAUAAGCGGAGGAAAAGAAACUAACUAGGAUUCCCUCAGUAACGGCGAGUGAAGCGGGAAGAGCUCAAAUUUGAAAUCUUCAAGGUUUUACCUUGACGAAUUGUAGUUUAAAGAAGUGUUUUCUGUUGGAGUUUUGGUAAAAGUUCUUUGGAAUAGGACAUCAUAGAGGGUGAGAAUCCCGUAUUUGACCAUUAUUUCCAGCUUUGUGAUACACUUUCAAAGAGUCGGAUUGUUUGGGAAUGCAGUCCAGAAUGGGUGGUAAAUUUCAUCUAAAGCUAAAUAUUGGCGAGAGACCGAUAGCGAACAAGUACCGUGAGGGAAAGAUGAAAAGAACUUUGAAAAGAGAGUUAAACAGUACGUGAAAUUGUCAAAAGGGAAGCGUUUGACACCAGUGUUGUUUUCUACGAAAAUCAAUUAAAUGAUGGCUUGAUGCUAGCUUGUAUGACUUUAUCCGCUUGUUGUUUAGUUUUCUUGUCUUUGUGAAUGCACUUUUCGUGGAACAAGUCAACAUCAAUUUCUUUUGCUGUAAAAGGGUAAGAGGAAGGUGGCUUCGGCUUCGGUUGAAGUGUUUAUAGCCUUUUAUCUCUGCAGUCGGAGAGAUUGAGGUCUGCAGCGUAGACUCUUCGGGGUUAGAUACGUCGGUGCUAAGCUAUAGCUUUUCAUAGACAACUUGUUGACUAUGUUUAGUCAUGUGGCUUACCCGCUGGCGCUAUUUUACCUACGCUUAGGAUGUUGAGUCAUCACACAUCUCU
rnacentral:rRNA from 1 species